rnacentral:lncRNA from 1 species
GAAAAAUGUGUAUAGCUAGUGUUUCAAGGUCACUGCAACUAGUUACAGAUUAUCUGUAAGAAGACUUCAGAGAUGAUAAAGGAUGCCCUAAUCUUCAGGAUGAAUUCCCAAGCACUCAAAUUUGUGAACAGGUAAUCCAAACUUUUUAAGGCUGCUUGUUUAGCACUCACUCAUCACUUGAACAUCAUUUUUUUUUUCUUUUUUGAGAAAGAAUCUUGCUCUGUUGCCUGGACUGGAGUGCAGUGAUGUGAUCUCAGCUCACUGCAACCUCCACCUCCCAGGUUCAAGUGAUCCUUCUGCCUCAGCCUCCUGAGUAGCUGGGACUACAGGCAUGUGCCACACAGAAUGCAAUUCCUCGUUGUCAAUGAAAUGAAAUGAGAAAAUUUCUCUUUUCACUCAAAUGGGCUAUACAUUUAUAUGAUCUAAAUUCCCAUAUUAACAAAAAAAAUUUUAGUUGUUUGCUUUCCAGUUAGGUUAGGAUAUUUCUUCUGUUUAAGUUGGGAUGUGCCAAUAAAUAGGGUUUCCCAUUGCAGCUCACAGGCAGAGAAAGUGAAACCGCGCUUGGUAGUCUUUUCAUCCGUAUCUGUUCAACAACAACAAAG